GAUGAACGCUGGCGGCGUGCUUAACACAUGCAAGUCGAACGAUGAAGCUGGAGCUUGCUCCGGUGGAUUAGUGGCGAACGGGUGAGUAACACGUGAGCAAUCUGCCCUUGACUCUGGGAUAACUGCGGGAAACUGUAGCUAAUACCGGAUACUUUCACUGGAAGGCAUCUUCUGGUGAAGAAAGAAUUUCGGUCAAGGAUGAGCUCGCGGCCUAUCAGCUUGUUGGUGAGGUAACGGCUCACCAAGGCGACGACGGGUAGCCGGCCUGAGAGGGUGACCGGCCACACUGGGACUGAGACACGGCCCAGACUCCUACAGGAGGCAGCAGUGGGGAAUAUUGCACAAUGGGCGCAAGCCUGAUGCAGCAACGCCGCGUGAGGGAUGACGGCCUUCGGGUUGUAAACCUCUUUUAGUAGGGAAGAAGCGAAAGUGACGGUACCUGCAGAAAAAGCACCGGCUAACUACGUGCCAGCAGCCGCAGUAA
rnacentral:rRNA from 1 species